CUACUUUUCUAUUGUGUCUGCAGAAAUAAAAUAAUAGGCAAUGACCAAUAGAAGAUAAACCCACAUUUAUUCCAUACGUGGUGCCAUUGCUACCCCCACCUCUUUCUCUCUUUGUGUUUGUACCUCUAUAUAAACCCCAGCAGCCCACCCUCUUCCCUACACCAUCAAAGUAAAGCUACAUGUUCCAAUUCAGUGGAACAGUUUUAGGGUUUGGGAGAUUGAUGCAUGCGUAUAUAGCUAGGCAGCCAAACAAAUUUUUUUUUUUUUCUUCCUUUCUUUUCAAGCGUUUGUCAGGUGCAACCACGAGAGGUCUUUAGAUUUAAAAUUGCAGAAGGGUAAGGGGAGGUGACAGAAGAGAGUGAGCACACAUGGCAUUUUCUUGCAUGUUCAUGCUUGAAGCUCUGCGUGCUCACUCUCUGACUGUCACCCCCACCAACAUCUCUCUCUCUCUCUCUCUCUCUCUCUCUCUCUCUCUUUCUCUCUCGAUAUAUAUAUGUAUGUAUACAUUAGGGUUAUUAUAUAUUAAUUUGGAAAUCAAGUUUUUUUUGUGUUUCAUUAUCAUUUGUUAAUUUGCAGUGGAUAUCCAGCAAAUCAAGUUCACUCAUUUGGAACUCAUAAUUAUUUAUAUAUCUAAUAUCUUUUGUAUGUCUUUGCAGCGUUGGUCCUUCGCUUUUCUUUGUUAAUUUGUACCUAAAUAUAUAAGUGGAUCUGUGAUGCGUUUAGACACUGAGUGUGAAAUUGUGUAGUCUUUUAUGCCAUUCCAAUUGAUAAUUGAUUGUAGACUUGCAGCCUGAUGAUGAGUCUAAUUGGUCUUGUACAAUUGGUUUCAAAAAUCAGAAAGCGCUUCACAGGCAAAAACUAAAGGCGUUUAACUCAAAAUCUAAUAAGAAAUGGAAGAAAAAGAGAAACAGAAAGGGAAAAGAAGAAUCAGCUAGUUAUAGCUAUGCAUAUAAACUUAAUAUUCCUGUUCAAACAUCAGUUUAACAUCUGUCUGACAUUGUCGAUGAACCUUUUGAAGGAGCUUUGGUAAAAAUGCAUUGGGCACAUCCUCUAUACGAAUCUGAUUCCAAAAUGCAAAUGUUUCAAGAACACUUCGAUCCCUAAAUGCCGCCUAUUGACAAAUAUGGGAACUCUCUUUACAACUAGCAAUUUAGCAUCUCUGCAUUCCUAAAACCUGUACAUGCUAGGGUACUCUAGCAGUACUAUUAAUGAUUAAUUAGAGAGUAGGUUCCAGCUAUGAAGAUUGCAAUCCUUGCGGUUCUUUUCUUUGUAAUUUGUUAUGUAUAUAAAACAAGUUGAUGCAAAAAGUUCACGUCUAUGAUCUGUAUUCACUGUGAAACAUAGUAAUUAAUCCCAUCUCUUUCCAACAUACAAUAAAAUCAAUUUUCAUUUCUCUCUUUCUA